rnacentral:rRNA from 1 species
CCUACGGGGGGCAGCAGUGGGGGAUAUUGCACAAUGGGGGGAACCCUGAUGCAGCGACGCCGCGUGGGUGAAGAAGCGCCUCGGCGCGUAAAGCCCUGUCAGCAGGGAAGAAAAUGACGGUACCUGAAGAAGAAGCCCCGGCUAACUACGUGCCAGCAGCCGCGGUAAUACGUAAGGGGCAAGCGUGAUCCGGAUUUACUGGGUGUAAAGGGGGCGCAGACGGCGAUGCAAGCCAGGAGGGAAAGCCCGGGGCCCAACCCCGGGACUGCUCUUGGAACUGCGUGGCUAGAGUGCAGGAGGGGCAGGCGGAAUUCCGGGUGUAGCGGUGAAAUGCGUAGAUAUCAGGAGGAACACCGGUGGCGAAGGCGGCCUGCUGGACUGCAACUGACGUUGAGGCCCGAAAGCGUGGGGAGCAAACAGGAUUAGAUACCCGAGUAGUC